rnacentral:rRNA from 1 species
ACGCUGGCGGCAUGCCUUACACAUGCAAGUCGAACGGCAGCACGGAGCUUGCUCUGGUGGCGAGUGGCGAACGGGUGAGUAAUAUAUCGGAACGUACCCUGGAGUGGGGGAUAACGUAGCGAAAGUUACGCUAAUACCGCAUACGAUCUAAGGAUGAAAGUGGGGGAUCGCAAGACCUCAUGCUCGUGGAGCGGCCGAUAUCUGAUUAGCUAGUUGGUAGGGUAAAAGCCUACCAAGGCAUCGAUCAGUAGCUGGUCUGAGAGGACGACCAGCCACACUGGAACUGAGACACGGUCCAGACUCCUACGGGAGGCAGCAGUGGGGAAUUUUGGACAAUGGGCGCAAGCCUGAUCCAGCAAUGCCGCGUGAGUGAAGAAGGCCUUCGGGUUGUAAAGCUCUUUUGUCAGGGAAGAAACGGUGGGAGCUAAUAUCUCCUGCUAAUGACGGUACCUGAAGAAUAAGCACCGGCUAACUACGUGCCAGCAGCCGCGGUAAUACGUAGGGUGCAAGCGUUAAUCGGAAUUACUGGGCGUAAAGCGUGCGCAGGCGGUUUUGUAAGUCUGAUGUGAAAUCCCCGGGCUCAACCUGGGAAUUGCAUUGGAGACUGCAAGGCUAGAAUCUGGCAGAGGGGGGUAGAAUUCCACGUGUAGCAGUGAAAUGCGUAGAUAUGUGGAGGAACACCGAUGGCGAAGGCAGCCCCCUGGGUCAAGAUUGACGCUCAUGCACGAAAGCGUGGGGAGCAAAC